GAGAAAGUGAUUUUCCCUUACAUUUACCCUUUUGUAUACAGUAAACAUGGAGGAUGCAUGAAAUAAUAUUUUAAC